rnacentral:rRNA from 1 species
UGCAGUCGAGCGGUACACAGAGAGCUUGCUCUCGGGUGACGAGCGGCGGACGGGUGAGUAAUGUCUGGGAAACUGCCUGAUGGAGGGGGAUAACUACUGGAAACGGUAGCUAAUACCGCAUAACGUCGCAAGACCAAAGUGGGGGACCUUCGGGCCUCAUGCCAUCAGAUGUGCCCAGAUGGGAUUAGCUAGUAGGUGGGGUAAUGGCUCACCUAGGCGACGAUCCCUAGCUGGUCUGAGAGGAUGACCAGCCACACUGGAACUGAGACACGGUCCAGACUCCUACGGGAGGCAGCAGUGGGGAAUAUUGCACAAUGGGCGCAAGCCUGAUGCAGCCAUGCCGCGUGUAUGAAGAAGGCCUUCGGGUUGUAAAGUACUUUCAGCGAGGAGGAAGGCGUUAAGGUUAAUAACCUUGGCGAUUGACGUUACUCGCAGAAGAAGCACCGGCUAACUCCGUGCCAGCAGCCGCGGUAAUACGGAGGGUGCAAGCGUUAAUCGGAAUUACUGGGCGUAAAGCGCACGCAGGCGGUCUGUCAAGUCGGAUGUGAAAUCCCCGGGCUCAACCUGGGAACUGCAUUCGAAACUGGCAGGCUAGAGUCUUGUAGAGGGGGGUAGAAUUCCAGGUGUAGCGGUGAAAUGCGUAGAGAUCUGGAGGAAUACCGGUGGCGAAGGCGGCCCCCUGGACAAAGACUGACGCUCAGGUGCGAAAGCGUGGGGAGCAAACAGGAUUAGAUACCCUGGUAGUCCACGCCGUAAACGAUGUCGACUUGGAGGUUGUGCCCUUGAGGCGUGGCUUCCGGAGCUAACGCGUUAAGUCGACCGCCUGGGGAGUACGGCCGCAAGGUUAAAACUCAAAUGAAUUGACGGGGGCCCGCACAAGCGGUGGAGCAUGUGGUUUAAUUCGAUGCAACGCGAAGAACCUUACCUACUCUUGACAUCCAGAGAACUUAGCAGAGAUGCUUUGGUGCCUUCGGGAACUCUGAGACAGGUGCUGCAUGGCUGUCGUCAGCUCGUGUUGUGAAAUGUUGGGUUAAGUCCCGCAACGAGCGCAACCCUUAUCCUUUGUUGCCAGCGGUUAGGCCGGGAACUCAAAGGAAACUGCCAGUGAUAAACUG